CGCAUAUCAAAACAACUGUGCACCAACUUGACAAUGCGAUUCGAACAAAGCGAUAUGUUCAAAAACUUGCGCUCUGACAAACGUUUCCCAGCAGCAACCCAUAUUUUGGUUUUUUUGUGGUUCGCUGGCCACGAGGCCUGUAGUAAUCGCGAUAUAUCUGAUCGAUUUAAUGUUUCGUUGUCAAGCGUUUCACGAAUCAUCGAACGAACCAUGAUUUUCAUAAGCAGCUUGAGUCCGAUGGUAAUUGAAUGGCCAGAUGAAGGGAAAAACGUGAAGCUGCUAAUUUUUUUCACAAUAAAUGUGGAUUUUCGAAAGCAAUAGGUUGCAUCGAUGGAACACAAAUAACCAUUGAUCCGCCUGCUCAAAAUAAAGAUGAAUAUAUUGACAGGAAAGGCAACACAACGCUUUGUAUGCAAGCUAUAUGCAACGAGAAGAAAAUGUUCAUCCACAUAUUUGUUGGUUUUCCUGGAUCGAGCCAUGAUAGUUGGGUUUUACAAAACUCCCCAGUCUAUGAAGAUCUCUAUGUGGAGAGUACUACUUACUUGGUGAUUCAGCAUAUCCUUGCAGUGAAUAUCUAAUGACGCCUUACAAGGAUAAUGGCCAUUUGACAAGGCAACAAAAAU